rnacentral:lncRNA from 1 species
CUGCUCUUAAAGGGCCGUGUCGGUGACAAGGACAAAUGCGGAGCCCCGUGCGUUGGCCGCUCUCCCAUCUGCGGGGUGCCGGGAGGGCGGGGGGGCGCGUGGGGGCGGCAGCGCCGGCUGUGCCGUACGGAGGGGACGGGGAGGGCGGCGUCCGGCCGGCCGCUGAACUGACCUACAUCGCUCGUCCCCAGGUCGGUGGAUGCUGACUUGAGGGUCUGCCUCCUGCUGCGGCUGCCGGGCUUCGGCCCACUCUGCCCCUUGGAGGAACAGAACACACCGCAGCCUGUGCAGCCGCAGAGGUGCAGAGGAAUGGAGGAGAAGGAGCGGCCCCCCGGCGCCCGCAGCCCCCCCCCCUCACCUUGCGCUGCGCCCAUGGGCCGGGGGAACUGCGUGAGGACGGGGAGGGGGCUCAGCCCCGUGCAGACACUGUUCAGGGGCGUUCUGGGGGGGCUGGGGGCCAUUGGGUACGUUCAGCUGCAUCACAACCACGCCGGGGCCUGAAGGGGACACCCCUGGGGAGAGAGGAUGGCAGCCGUACGGCCCCAGCUCUGCACGCCACGGCUGCUCGCUGUGGAAGAAGCGGCAGCAACUGCAACCGAUGCGCCCUUCCCUGCACCUUUGCAUCGGAGCGAUGAUUUGAGCCCACGGCCCCACAGCUGAGCCGCUGCCAGCAGAGGGAGUCUGCAGCCCACAGCAGCUCCCAGUGCUGCCCCUGCCCUGCCUGCCUGCUGGACUAUGGGCACGGUGAGCGCGGGCCGGCCUGGAGCAGAGUCACUUUGCCGCUCAGGGAGGGCUGUGCGAUAGAUUGGGCUGUGAAUUGGCAGCCCCUGACCCCCCCUUCCCACCCCAAACCCGAUCCAAACGGCUGACCCCGAAGCGCGGCGCCUCGUACCCGAAUACUGCUGCUGCAUCUGCGACGGGCUGCAGGGGGAGGGAGACUGCGGCAGCUGGUACUGCUCCGAGCCGGGCGGCUGCAGGAACCCCACCGAAGGGCUGUGGAGCAGAAAGCGCUUUGCUGAGCCGCUGCUGCUGGCAGAGAAGCAGCAGCCACAGCCCCUGCAUUGCAUGAGAGGGGCUGGCAACCCUGGAGGAGGCCAGGAGGCUCUGCAGGGCGGCCGUGUCCGGGAACCACCAUGCAUGGCAAGCUCCAGAGCUGAGCAGCACCCCCACUGCCCCCCUCCCACCAUCACGGGCCGCAGGACUCGGACACAGCACCCCCCAACGCAGAGAAGCUCCUACCUGGUGCCGUUCUGCUGGGCAGUUGGGAUGACGCUGUAGUAGAUGGGUACGCCUCCAGUCUGAAGCCCCCCCUGGACAGACUGGCUGGCCGGCACCAGCACCGGCUGCUGGAAGGGCUGCUGGACCACACUCUGCGACUCGUUGGCCACGGGAACCUGUGCAGGGAGGAGAGGAGCAGCCCUAUGGAAUGAGAGGGAACGGACAGCAGGAGCUGGCCACAAAAGCUUGAAGGGCCACCAGGUGGGCGUCCCGUGCAGCCUGCAGCAAUCACACCCUGCAGAGGGCAGACCCUCGCAGCUGCCCUGGGAACACAGAGCUCAGGGGAGCAGCUGAGCUCAGCUCUCUUCCCCAAGAGGAACUCUCUGCAGGUUCAAAUGCGUCCCCCAGCCUGGCUGGCAAGCGUGCACAACCUCCUCCAAGGUGAACGCAUCUGCACUGUUAACCCCACAGCUCAGAGGAGGGCUGCAGAACUGAGGCCCUCAGCCCACUGCAAAGCAGCUGACGCCUACCUGGUACGAAGGCAGCGGGGUGUACUGCACCAUCAGGCCUUGCAUCUGGCUCCCCAUGCCGCUCCUCUGGCUGCUGAGGAGGCUCGGGGGCUGCGUCUGCUGCACCCCCAGCACGCUCUGCAUUUGGCCCCCCAUGCUAUUCCUCUGGCUGUUGAGGAGCCCGGGGGACUGUGCCUGCUGCACUCCCAUCACGCCUUGGUACGUUUGCUGCUGGUUGGACAUCAUUGGCUGUAAACCUGCCAGAACAAAGUUGAGACGGAACAGCUUCCCAGCUGGCCGCAACGGACACAGCUGAGGUCCGUUCCUGCUUUGGCCCCUUCCUUUGUUAGGGAGGGAAAAGGGAUUCCCUCAUGGAAGGUGGAGGAAGACCCAAACGAAGCUGCUGGCAGCACCCUGCAUGCUGCGUACUCAGAGGAAAGGAAAGGAGGCGGCUUUUGCAGCCAGGUCACAUUUCAACUCUCCUUUGUGCAGCAGAGCCAGCAGAGAGCGGCACCUCAGGACACGGAGGAGCAGCCCAAGUGCAGGCAGUGCCUCACAGACCCUUAGAAGCCAACAGAGAGAAAGGAAAGGGGAAGGUCCCCUACUCCCUGCUGCCCCCCCCCAACCCCUUACCGGGCUGCUGGGCUUGCUGGGGGAGCUGCUGCGUGCGCUGAGAGCUGUAGGCCACUGGGUGACUGAGAGAUCGGUAUUGCUGGCUGGAGUUCGGGUACUGCCCGGGAGGGUAGUAAGAAACCUGAAUCUAGCAAAAGCGAGGAAACACGGCGGUAAGAACCCAGCGAGUGGGAUGAAGAAAUCGGGACCCUCCGGGUUCCUGCAGGACCGCUUUGCUCUCACACCCGGCCCGGCUGCUGCCGAAGGAAACCAAGCGGGGCUUCGGCUCCGGGCAGAGCAGAGAUCCCCAGGGAAGCACAGCCCCCCACUGCUCCUCCCAGCCUCACCCCCGAGCCCUCCCCAGCACCGCACUGCGAAGGCACUGCAGGCUCAGUCCUCACCACAGCCCGGGGGAGACGUCCCACCCCCCACUUAUGGGUCCCACCCCCAUCCCAGAGGUCACAAAGCCCCGCAGGACCCAAAGGAGAGCUCAGAGGUGUCAGCCCCCCGUAUGGUCACUGUCUCCCUUCCACUGCGAGCCAGGAAUGGCCAGAGGGCUCUCCAGGGAACCGCCGUGUGACGUGGGAGCAGAAACCAUACUGUGUCUCAUAGGAGCACGUGUGCACCCAGUGCUCUGACUGCUGCCCAUUGCUCCAUCACAAAUGAGCAGCACAAAAAGAAGGGCAGCCCCAGCAAAGUGUCCCCCCCCAGCAAAGUGUCCCCCCCAGCAAACCGUCCCCCCCCAGCAAAGUGUCCCCCCCCAGCAAAGUGUCCCCCCCAGCAAAGUGUCCCCCCCCAGCAAACCGUCCCCCCCCAGCAGCCCCCUGCCCUACAGAUUUGGGUUGAGGUCCUCAUCCCCUCCAGCCCCGCGCAGCUCCUUACUUGCUGGGGAGGUUGGAUGUAGCCCUGGGGCUGCAGCACCUGCUGCGUGGGGACCGUGUGCCCUGAGGCUGAGUAGUUGGAGGUGGGAAUGGGCUGCCCAGGGGUUGCCAUGAUGAAUCCCGCCUGCUGAGGGUGCUGGGAGAUGAGGGAUGAUUGGAACAUGGCCGAGGAAGGAUCCGGUGCUUCCGUCGAGCCCUGUCGGCUGAGGCUGAUCUGCCCAAAGGGGUUGCUGAGUUCGUCAGCCUGCAGCGGGGAUAAGUGAGAGGACACGUAGGCAUGUAGGACAGCAGCAAACGCAACGCGGCUCCGCCGAGCACUCCUUCCCACCACCCUCUGUUACAGACCAAGAGCGUUCUGCAGGACGGGGAGCCCCGGAGCUCAGCAGACACGGGUGACAUGCACAGCCCUGCAGAGGCCGGGGCGGCCCCAGCCCCGAUCUGCGUCCUGCAGGGCACUUCACACCAUGCACGGGGCGCUGCUCCCAGAAAGCCAGCACGGGCUGAGCACGAACUGCAGGGCAGCCGUGGCCCCACGGCACUUCCUCAGCCUCUAAGAUCAGCCCCGGGCUGCCAGAGCCUCGAGCAGCCCACGGCAACACGGGGCCUCCCUGACUCCUAAAGCCACCGUGUGCAGUGUGUGCGACACAGCCGGGUCAGCGCAAGCUCGGACAACACAAACACGGCACACAGGUAGAGCGGAGGCAGCGCACGAGAGUAAAUGGGGUUUAUACCAUGUUGUACUGCUGGGGUGGAGAGACUGGCAAGAGGACUUGGGGGCAGGAGCUUGGAGAAUACUGAACGGGCUGCAGCGCUGGGACCGGCUGAGACCAGCAGAGGAGGGAGCAGAGGGCACAGAUUUGGGUGGGGAGAGGUGAGGAAGGACAGGAGGAAGGAGAGAAAGAAGGAACAACAAGGUUAGUCAACCGAGCCCGUUGCGAACACACACAGGCGGGCAUUGCAGGGGUUUGGAAAGCGUGGGGAGCAGAAUGGGAGAGCGUCCGCCUGUCGGGGACGGCACGGCUGCUUUGUGGAAGCUGUGCAGGCCGUGUCCACAAAGCAGUCCUCACCUGGUGUGAACGGUGACGAAUUCACAAAGGCCCAAAGCAGAGAUCCGUUUACUCCGGACCACCUCCGUGUCUCCCAUCCCACCGCCCACCCGUGCACGGCACCGACCCCCGGCUCUCCCUGCACCCUCGCCGGGCAGAACGGAGUCCCAGCAGCCCGGCUGUGCGUUGGCUCUGCCUGCACCUCCCACCGCCUGCCCCCACCGAGCCCCGCCUGCUGUGCAGACACUCACCUGAGACAUCAUGUGGUUACUCAUGGCUGGCUGCUGCUGGGCCGUGGGGGGAAGGCCUUGGGGCUGCGGCUGCUGGGGAGGCGGUGGUUGAGGCUGCUGGGAUGCGCAGGGAAGGAGGCCGCGGCUGGGCUGCGACGAAGGGGGUUGGCUGCAUGCUUCGGGGGCACCGAGAGCCAGGCCUUGAGCAGAGAGAAGCAGGAGAAAGCAGACGGUAAGUCAGCCAAACAGCUCAUCCCCAUCCGGGUGCUGAGCAGUCCGAAACGAAGCCGGUUUCGUUUCCUGGUCCCAUUCUAACCGGGGGCACUGAGCGCAGCCCCAUAGCUGACCAACCCCCCGACUCAACGACGGCGGGCACCGCUGCUCCCUGGCAGGAGGUGGGCAGGGAAGCCAAGCAGUACCUGCCCGGGGUGCUCUGCUGGCCGUGCUGCCUUUGCUGCUCCCGAUGCUGUCCCCCCGUGUCAGGAUGGAGAUGCCGCUGAAGCUGCUGGCUUUGGUGACGGGCGGUCGCAGGCUGCGGAUGGAGCCAUCUGAGUCCGUGCUGCUCCACGGCCGAGGCUCCAAUGAUUUGAUCUCGCUCUCCGUGCUGCUCUGACGGCUGCCCGAGGCCCGGCUCAAACCGUCCCGGUUGGCCCUGUGCAGAGAAAAGUGAGUCAGGAAACGGCUCCGGGGGGAAGGGGAGGGAGCGGGACCCGCGUGUGCUGCACCCAACUGUCACAGCGGGGUGGUGACGCUGGCCAGCAGCUGGCUGUGGGGGACAGCACAUUGGCACUGAGCACAGUAAUCAGAGACGGCGAACAAACAGCCCGCGUCGCUGCUUCCUCAGCCGUGCACUGGGAAGACCCACACAGUUAUCUCCAUGUUGGUUCCUGGCCUUUUUCUCCGGCCUGGAAAAGAGGCCAGCAGGCUCACAGCACGGUCCCUUGCUAAAGCUUUCCUUGUCCCACAACACCGGGCCUCACAGAGGCCUCAAGGUGACCAAGAUCUUGCAAGAUCCCCUUCUGCAGAGCUGUGUGCCGUGGCACCACUGUGCUCCCCGUGACUGCCCCCCUUCCUCUCCAGCCGGGUCUGCCUGUAAGACUUUGGAGUGCUGGCAAAGCACCCCAAGCAUUAAACCCGGUUCACCAGCCCAGCUAAGGAAUAUCAUGGGUUUAUAAUGGGUUCCUGGACCCUCGCUGAGGAGGAGUGGUGAUGAAGGCAACGACGGCAGAGAUGCCAUGCUGCAGGCUGAGCUCGGCAGCUCCAAGCAGCCGUGGAGAGAAGACAGGCUGAGAAGGAACGUCCAGCUGAGGUCCGGGGCUGCCGGGAGCACACGAGAGCCAAAGAGAACAGCUCUCCUGGAAGGGCAACCGAUGCGAUGGCUGCACCUCCUAACAGGUGAAGGAACCGCCUGUGCAGCCUUGCAAACUCCAGAGGGCCUAAAAAGUGUCGCUGCUCAUCCGGGCUCUCUCCAACCUCGACCCCGAGGAUGCUCGGAGAGGUGGGGGCACUCUUUGAGGCAUGUCGUGUCCUCCGUGCAGCUCAGCUGCUAACCCCGCUUCCCUGAGAACUCAGGACCUCUCAAGCUGUUAUGCCACUGGGUUAGCAGCAAGCAGCUUGAGCCAGCUCUGCUGUCUCUCGUGCCCCUCUCUCCGUGAACCUCAUCACAGCCUGCUUCCACGUGUCUGCCAGCAGAGAGCUCUCUGCCAUCACCUCGGUGCUAACAGAGGCCGUGUAAGCAAUGGAGGUGGCUGCUUUUGCUCUGAGUGCUGGGCUCUGGGGGAGCGAACUCAGGAGUUCACCAAGACAUCACCUCCAAGCACAGCCACCCAGGGAGCCCCGGUCUUCUCCGGAGCUUUGUCUGCCUCUGUCCAGAGCUCCAAACGACCCUGAGGUCCACACGGCCUCCGGAACCACAGAGGAAGGAGGUUAAGAAGCUCUUUAGGGCACACGGGUCAGAAGAGCUCUCAGCACAGCGCUGCCUGCAGGUGUGGGGUGACCUCUGCUGUAUGUCCACAGCAGAACUGCAAACGACACCAACACCGCAGCCAGAGGCGUAACUCCACCGCAGCAUCCCCGUAUCUGCGCUGAGGACACCUCGUUUUGCACUGCAGUGUUGUUCUGAGUGCAAACGGAGCCAAAACUGAGAAGCAAAGCUGUACCUCCAACACGCUUAAACCAGGGACAGCUGCAGUGCACCCCGACACUGAGCGGUGGGGUUCUCCCACCCUUCUGGGACACAAAGAGCGCAGCGGUUGGAAAACUGCCCCGAUCCUUUGGCUCUCCCCCUCCCUGCUGCCCACCGUCCCAUUUGAAUCGAUGGAUUGGCAAAAAAAAAAAAAUAAAAGAGAGAGAGAGGACUCAGAAAUCAACGCUGCGAAAAAUCCCACUUCGGCAACGAAUGGGGCAGAUUUACCCAGCAGGAAAACGUGCAUAAAUCACACAGCGACGCCUAAAAAUCUGCCUCCGUUUCUGAGGGCUAUAAGCAAAGCUUUCCUUGGACAUUCUGCCCGCUGCCAUCAGAGAAAAGCAUCAUUACGGAGUCAUGCAGUGCCCUGCAGACAAAGGCAGAGACACAGAGGUGUGUGCUGAGCGGUACUGACCUGCUGUCGGUGAGAUAUCCGUUCUGACCGGUCUGCAACCGUGGAAAAGACGCGGAGAUGGGAAGGAAAGAAAAAGGGACACUUAAUCACUUGGAAAGCGACAAACCCCACGCUACUUCAAAGCAAAGAAGAGCAAAGCACUAACAGUAUGGGAUUCAGCUGGUGCUGUGCAUGAGUUGUAUGGUCACUCGGGAGCUCCUGCUGAGCCUCUCGUGCUCCUGUCCCACUCGGCUCUCCAUCCAACCCCCCUGGAGCCUUUGCCAGCAUCUGUGAGGCCGACAUCUCCCCUGGGCUUUCAAAUCGGAGCCCUAAGCUCUCUAUCUCAGUGCCCUGAGGAGUCCUAAGCUCUCUAUUUCAGUGCCCUGAGGAGCCCUAAGCUCUCUAUCUCAACGCCCUGAGGAGCCCUAAGCUCUCUAUUUCAGUGCCCUGAGGAGCCCUAAGCUCUCUAUCUCAGUGCCCCGAGGCAGCAUCGAGGUUGCUUUGUUAGUGGGACAACCGAGACCAAACACAGAAGGGUCCUCUCUUGGUAAACGCGGGCAGUCAUCAGAGCCACGUGAAAAGGCGGAGGGCUCAAAGUCAGCCCAGCAUCCCGGUGACAGCCAGCCCUGCCCCUGCAGCCUGCAGCAGAGCGCCGGCUCAGGCCCUGAGCAGAGAGGAAGGGCGGCCACUCAGCACCGUGCUGGCGUGGGAUGGCAGCUGCCCUCGUCCAGGACUGCAGGCAGAGCUGCUCGUUAGCGUGGCUGGAUGGCUCUGGGCCUGCGUGCAACACAGCUCUGUGCCUACCAACACGAGAGCCAUCCGAAGCCUUGCUGCCUCGAGAGCACUCAGUGCAGCGGCUGCCUGAACACACUCCCAUUGGGACGGAGGAAAGCAUCGUUCCCCAGCUACUCCAAAGCAGCAGGCAGGGAGCUGGACUUCCAACCUGACCCACAGCAGCCUGAACUGUCCCCAGUCCCAUCGUACGCCUCUCGGCACAGCACAGAGAGCUGCCUCCAGCUGGCAGAUAGCACUCAACACAGCAGAGCACAGCAGCCUCGCUGAGCCAGACGUGAGCACGGAGCAGAGCUCUGCCUUAGAGGAGUUCCACACAGGGAGCAGAGAUUUCAAGCAAACAACAACCAAGCUGGACGCUUUGUGAGAAAGGAAAUCAACCCACAUCCAGCCCACAAAGGCACAGAGCCCUGCCUGACACCUGAGGGACCCCGGGCAGCCUGAUGUAAGGGCUGGCAACCCUGCCCGUGGCAGGGGGGUUGGAACGAGGUGAUCUUUAAGGUCCCCUCCAACCUAAGCCAUUGUGUGAUUGAGGGCUAGCACUGCUUGCUCGGGAGGCCAAAGCUGCAGAAAUGGAGAGAAACUGGGAGAGAAGGGCACGGUUCCUGGCAGCUUCAUCGAUUAACUCAUUCCAGACAUGCCACUGCAUAAGCUUAUAGUACUGCUGGACAGCAAGGAGCAAACCUGCCUCCUCUGUCAGUCCCCACACUUCUACUGCCAUGUGAAUUUAAGGGAGUGAACGUGUGGCUCCUCUAUCUCCAUGUCACAGGCAUCUUUGUUAGGAGCUGGAAUUCACUGGUAGAUACCAGGAACACUAGGAAAUUCGUAGAAAAGGCAACAGUGAGAUCUGACCUGUUAGGAUAUUCAAGGCCACCUUCUGCCCCAAGGUUCCAGGAAGACACCUGGCACGUCAGUGAUCUCAGCUUACCUCUCGUGCAAAUAUCCGCUCCCUGGCCCGCUGGUAUUCCUCCUCUCGCUCUUCUAUAGAUUUGCUCCUCCUCCCAUCCUGCAAGGGGAGUCUGAUCUGAAGGGACAAACACAGCUCAGCGGGUCAGUGGUUGCCAACGGGAGCAGAGGGUGCAGUGAGCUGCUGAUACGUCUGCACAGCACUAUGGGGACUGUGGGGUGCGUGCACGAUGCCCGGGUGCAAUAACGCUGCCUUUAAACUGAACUCCUGGGCACCUGUGUUAUGGGGGUGAACAACUGUUCUGCCUGCAAGACUGUUCUGCCCGAUUCAGAGAGGACAGGUGAGGAAUAUGAGCAAGUAUUCUGGAAGACAAUCUGCUCUCGGGGGGUCAGGAGCUAAAAGCCGCUCUCUGCAGACAGAUGCCCACGGCAAAGUCCUCCUGCUCAGUCACACGCUGUGUGCCUCACCCUCUGAGUACCACCGUGGAGCAAACAGAACCUGGUACUGAUUGCAAUGACCUCCUGAGUUCGGAAAGGUGAACCAAAGCGAGGGGUGAUGGCGUGGUGAUGUUAAGAUGGGUGCUACAAAAGCAAAGAGCGCGAGGUCCUGGGUGGGGAGGGGGAUCCCGGCGCCCCGUUCUGCUGUCCCUUACCUGAUUAUCAUCCCUGUCCAUGCUGGUGUCAUCUCGUUUUAGGAUAAACCGCUGUGGAAACUCUGCAUUCUUCUCAUCCUUGAUGUGCUCAGAGAACCUCUGCUCGGGACUGCAGGGGGAACCAGCUCUUGUUAGGGGGUCACAACGGGGCUUGGAGCUGUUUUGCUAACAGAGCCUGGCUUUUGGUCGUACCACAUCUCAGCUCCGCUGCAAGGACUCCAGCUUUGCUGCUCCCGUGGCAGCAUUCGGUUUGAUGGUGUUUAUUACUGACACAGCAGCAGCUCCUUUGGAGCACACAAACACCUUUUGAGUGCCACAUAAAGCCACAGACGUAGAGCUGUCACCUCCCUCUCCUCCUCCCAAAACACACGGAUGCACACACACACGUGCAAACAAACACCACAGGGUCAGCCAAAGCAGCGUCGCUCACCAGGUGCUCCCUCCCUCCCUUCACUCCAUCAGAAGGAUUGCUUUUUUAACCAAGCAGUGAC